UAAAGCCACCAGGGAAUUACGAGUUAAUCCUUAAAACUCAAAGGACUUGACGGUGCCCCACCCACCUAGAGGAGCCUGUUCUAUAAUCGACACUCCACGAUAUACCUUACCGCUUCUAGCCUACUCAGUCUGUAUACCUCCGUCGUAAGCUCACCAUGUGAACGCCACAAAGUGAGCUAAAAGGCUACCACCAACACGUCAGGUCAAGGCGCAGCUUAUGUAGCGGAAAGCAAUGGGCUACAAUCUCUCUAACAGAACAUACGGAAUACUAUCUGCAACACUUAGUCACUUGAAGGCGGAUUUAGCAGUAAAAAGAAAUCAGAGAGUUCUUUUUAAUUAGGCUCUGGGGCGUGU
rnacentral:rRNA from 1 species